rnacentral:rRNA from 1 species
GUUUGAUCCUGGCUCAGAGUGAACGCUGGCGGCAGGCCUAACACAUGCAAGUCGAGCGGCAGCGCAGCGGUAGCAAUACUGUGGGCGGCGAGCGGCGGACGGGUGAGGAACACAUCGGAAUCUACCCUGUCGUGGGGGACAACGUAGGGAAACUUACGCUAAUACCGCAUACGACCUUUGGGUGAAAGCGGGGGACUCGCAAGAGCCUCGCGCGAUUGGAUGAGCCGAUGUCCGAUUAGCUAGUUGGCGGGGUAAUGGCCCACCAAGGCGACGAUCGGUAGCUGGUCUGAGAGGACGACCAGCCACACUGGAACUGAGACACGGUCCAGACUCCUACUGGAGGCAGCAGUGGGGAAUAUUGGACAAUGGGGGCAACCCUGAUCCAGCCAUGCCGCGUGGGUGAAGAAGGCCUUCGGGUUGUAAAGCCCUUUUGUACGGGAAGAAAAGCUUCGGGUUAACAACCGGGAGUCAUGACGGUACCGUAAGAAUAAGCACCGGCUAACUUCGUGCCAGCAGCCGCGGUAAUACGAAGGGUGCAAGCGUUACUCGGAAUUACUGGGCGUAAAGCGUGCGUAGGCGGUGGUUUAAGUCUGAUGUGAAAUCCCCGGGCUCAACCUGGGAAUGGCAUUGGAUACUGGAUCGCUAGAGUACGGUAGAGGGUGGUGGAAUUCCCGGUGUAGCAGUGAAAUGCGUAGAGAUCGGGAGGAACAUCUGUGGCGAAGGCGGCCACCUGGACCAGUACUGACGCUGAGGCACGAAAGCGUGGGGAGCAAACAGGAUUAGAUACCCUGGUAGUCCACGCCCUAAACGAUGCGAACUGGAUGUUGGGGGGAACUUGCCCUUCAGUAUCGAAGCUAACGCGUUAAGUUC